UACGGAGGGUGCGAGCGUUGUCCGGAAUCACUGGGCGUAAAGGGCGCGUAGGCGGCGCGGAUAGUCGGCGGUGAAAGCCCGGAGCUCAACUCCGGGUCGGCCGUCGAUACUUCCGGGCUUGAGCACUGUAGAGGCAGAUGGAAUUCCGGGUGUAGCGGUGGAAUGCGUAGAGAUCCGGAAGAACACCGGUGGCGAAGGCGGUCUGCUGGGCAGUUGCUGACGCUGAUGCGCGACAGCGUGGGGAGCAAACGAGGAUUAGAGU
rnacentral:rRNA from 1 species